GUCUCGAGCUUUUGUUCAUCUGUUUCCAACCGCACGCCGGAGAACAGGAGCCAUUGCGUCUCACCACCGCGCACUGUUCAGCAGCAUACACUCACCCGUUCCGACAUCCAAGCAGGACGUGGAUACUGAAGUAGUUUCACUCUUGGACUUUCGGUGUUUAAAUCUUCAGCAACUUACAAACUCAACAUGGAAAGCGAGAACAAAUACCUCCCGCAGCUGCUGGCGGAGCGCGACAGCCUGGACCCGUCCUUCACACACGCCAUGAAACUUAUAUCAGCAGAAAUUGAAAAGAUUGAGAAGGGGGACACUGAGAAAGAUACAGAAAGCUACCUGGACCUCUUUACUAUGAAAAACAUCAAACUGAAGGAAAGGAUUCUCAUACCAGUCAAACAGUACCCUAAGUUUAACUUUGUUGGGAAGAUCCUUGGACCGCAGGGGAACACCAUCAAGAGACUGCAGGAGGAGACGGGCGCUAAGAUCUCCGUGCUGGGAAAAGGAUCCAUGAGGGACAAGAAUAAGGAGGAAGAGUUGAGGAAAAAUGGAGAACCAAAGUAUGCACACUUGUCUAUGGAGCUUCAUGUGUUUAUUGAGGUGUUUGCUCCUGUUCCUGAUGCAUACAUGCGCAUGGCUCAUGCCAUGGAGGAGAUCAAAAAGUUUUUGUUUCCUGACAUGAUGGAUGACAUUUGCCAGGAGCAGUUCAUGGAGAUGAAGUUUCUGAAUGGCGGUCAGGAACACGGAGGUAGAGGCCGAGGAGGACCACCCAUCAGAGGCCGUGGAGGUCUUCCUCCUCCUGGAGCACCCAGGGGUCGUGGUAUGCCCCCACGUGGAGGUGGCCGUGGCGGACCCCCUCGUGGUGGAGCUGCAAGGGGAGCUCCUGCAGGCAGAGGUGGACCAUCAGCCCAGCUGCCCAGAGGAGCUGCUUCAAACCGUGCCCGUCCACCUGCCCCUGGCGCUCCGCGGAUGCCUCCACCCCCUCAGACCCAAGAGUCCUAUGAUGAAUAUUCUUAUGAUGAGAGCUACGCAGACACCGGCUAUGAAUCUUAUGACAGUUACUACAGUCAGCCACAAGCAGCAGAAACUGAAUACUAUGACUAUGGACAUGGAGAGACACAGGAGGGGUAUGAAAACUAUGCUCAAGAUAACUGGAAUGGGACACCACGUACUGCUGCUGCCGCCGGUGGAAAAGCUCCCACUCAGAGACAGACUAAACCUGGGUUCAGGGAACACCCCUAUGGACGAUACUAAGUCUGACUAGUGGAACGUCACCCAACGCGUCGCCAUGACAACUGUCUCCCAUGGCAGCUCACGCUUUAAGCUACCCGACAAAAGUUGUGAUGCCCGGCAAUUCCUGGAAUCAGAAAGAGAUUAAACAAGAAUGUCAGACCUCUCCUCAGGAAAAGACAGGUGUUUGUUGGCAGAGUAAGAGCAAUCUUACCCUUUUUAAGCACCUGCAGUCAUUAUGGAACAUGGACUGUCCUCGUGGAGAGCUUCUGAAUGGGCUGGAAUUGCAGAAGUCGAUGGUCCUGUCAGCUAAAGUACGAACCAACAGCUUCUUAAUGGGUUAAAGCAGAAGCCUUGAGCUCCUGGUGCUAUGGCUAGUCAUUACGCAAGGUCAUUUCUCUGUGCUGAAAAGUUUCUCUGUGCUGUUCUCCUCAUCAAGUGCUUUCUAAGCACACUUAACUUUAAAUGUUCAUCUUUUAAAUUGUCCUCUCCUGCUCAUAUUGGCCAAGAAAUCAUUUUAACAAGCUCGAAAAAUUCUGUCUGGGCUCUCCAGACAUCUACCUCAGACAAUACUCCAGUGCUUUUAUUCUGCAAGACAAGCAUGUCUUCCCCGUUUCCUCGCUCGGAGGAUCGUACAUGCUAAUUUAGAGCUGUCCAGCCCCUAUCUCCUAGCACAGACUUUGUCCUUUAAUUGCCAUGGUAAUUUUCGUCUUGCUCUUGUGUAGAUCUCUAUGAAUGGGUUUAUGCUGCCGGUGCUGGUAUGAAUCACAAUUGUAUCUUCUGUCAAAAGCAAAAAUCUCCAGGGCUUCACAGAAUAAUUGUUGAUCUAAAUCAAACUAACAUUUUUUUACCUUCUGGAUAAAGGUCCGUUCCGCUAAUUGAGAGCUUUCCAUAAAUUCUCCUUUGUUUUCUAAUCCUCGCUGUGCGGAGUCUGCUUUUGGCAUUGUGCAUGGCAUUUGUGAAUGUGUGUUGCUGUCUCUGUAUAUCGCUGUAGCUCCCUUUUUUUUCCUCAGCAUGUAGGAUUCAAGGCUGUCAUUUUGACCAAUUACCGCCAAUGACAGUGUGUCCGUCCCCCCAAGGAGCCGCUACUGGUAGCUGACUGGCUAACAGGACUAAUGUCUUAUUGCGUUAGAGACAAAUCAGUCCUCGGCAUGAAUUUUAAUAAGCAUCAAGCACAGCUCAAGUGCCAUCAAACAAUUGGAAGUGCGUGCGUGUGGGUUGGAGGUUGACCAAUGUGCAUACAGGCUUCAUGAUAAAUAAUAAUGAAGAUAUAUUUCCACUACACAUACAAGGCUGUUAAGGAAUUAGGGAAGUCUCAUGAAUGAAGCCUAUCGUAUGCGCCUAAUGGGUCUUUGCUUGAGUAGUCAUGUCAUCAGACAGCCAUUGCCUACAGCUGCUGGGGAAAUGCCUCUGGGGUAAUGUGCAAGGCAUGUGUGUGGUGGCCUGAAAGUGGGGAUUGUGGCUUGGCAGCUCUUUUCUCUAAACACGCAUUGUGCAUGCUGAAAACAGGAAGCGUGGCUUUAUGAAUGCAAAUGGAACGCUCUCACUGCUGUCUGUCUGUCUUCCUUCUUCUUGCAUGGCUAUUUUUCUAGUUUUGCACCUAACCAGUAUAUGCUCUCCAGGGAAUCAGGGGUUUGAGUGCACGGGGAGGAGUUGUGACUGUUUCUGGCUCACGUCCUAGAGAGCCAUGGCUGCUGGCCACCUCCUUCAGUGUGAAAUGCUGGUAAUAACUAAAGCCUCCUAAAGGUCUCUCUGUCAAUGUGAUGCGAUGAAAAUGAAUUGAAUCCAUCCAUGUGGAGUCUGGCUUGAGUAAUCCGAAGCCCUCCAGGACAAAGAGUUGGACACCUUCACUUUGGCUGUCGCUUGAGAAGCAUUCCAUUGCAUGAUUUCCAACAUCCACAUAAAAGCAGAAGCACCUAACACAAUGUCGGAAAACCAUGGGAAUUGUUUGGGAUUAGUGAUGAAAAACAAGUGCCAGGAGUCUGUAUUCUUUUUGUUUUCCUAAAGAGAUUGGUGAGCCUGUAUUUGCAAUGCAGCUAAACUGGAUUUGAGUUUAUUGAAGUGCCUGUCUUUCAGCAUAGCUGUUGGCCUUAUCUCAGUAGGAGCAAAUUAAAGCCUUUGGGGUCAGAGAAGCUUUUCAGUGACUUAGGGUAACAAACACUUUUUUUCCAUUUUAAAAGUCAUUCAAGCUUGUUUGAAAGUUGGCGCAUCCUACAGAUUAUUACAUACGACUACAAAGAGAAAAGUGAAUAACUUCAGAUGUUUUUACCUGCUAUGUCAAAAUAAAAAAAAAUUGAUUUCAA